UACGUAGGGGGCAAGCGUUGUCCGGAAUCAUUGGGCGUAAAGCGCGUGUAGGCGGCCAGAUAAGUCCGCUGUGAAAUCUCGAGGCUCAACUUCGAGCUGUCGGUGGAAACUGUCUGGCUAGAGUCCGGAAGAGGAGAAUGGAAUUCCUGGUGUAGCGGUGGAAUGCGCAGAUAUCAGGAGGAACACCGGUGGCGAAGGCGGGUCUCUGGGCAGUAACUGACGCUGAGGAGCGAAAGCGUGGGGAGCGAACAGG
rnacentral:rRNA from 1 species